AACAUGUCCUUUUGUUUAAUUUAUUUAAGGUUUGCCCUGCCCAAUGAUUUAUUUAAUGGCCGCAGUAUAUUAACUGUGCUAAGGUAGCAUAAUCAAUUGUCUUUUAAUUGGAGGCUGGAAUGAAGGGGUGACUGAGGAAUUAUCUUUCUUUUUAUUAAAACUUGAAUUUAAUUUGUUAGUUAAAAAGCUAACAUUUUAUUAAGGGACGAGAAGACCCUAUAGAUCUUAAUAUUUAAUUCAUUAUUUUAUUAUGGGUUAUAAUUAUAAAAUAAAGCAUUAUGUAUUUAAUUGGGGUGAUUUUAGAAUUUUUUGAACUACUAUUUUAAUUAUCAUUAAUUAUUGUUUUAUUGAUCCAAUAUUAUUGAUUAUAAGAUUAAGUUACCUUAGGGAUAACAGCGUUAUUUCUUCGGAGAGUUCAUAUUGAUGAAGAAGUUUGCGACCUCGAUGUUGGAUUAAAAUAAAUAAUGGGUGCAGUAAUUCAUUGAUUAGGUCUGUUCGACCUUUAAAUUUUUACAUGAUCU
rnacentral:rRNA from 1 species